UAAAAUGUUGUAUGAUAUGGGGCCAAAGACACGGGACUGGGCUGUCUUACCGAGUUCAUUCUAAGGAGUCAGACUAACACUGUUACCGAAGGGCAGGAGUGUUUACACACCGAACACGACCCUGUGGCUUGACAGCAGAGGGAUGCUGAGGCAGCUGCUGGAGUCUUAGGAUCCUGCAGGCGGAGUCAGCUCGGGUGGGGGCGGCUCCUCGAGGACAGGAGGUCCGGCAGGAGUCAGGCCACCGUGCAGAAGGAAACAGGCCACCCGGAGAAACUAAGACAAAUAAAUAGAGCCUGCUCAGCACGUACAACGUUAUCUGUGUGCACUGACUUCGCGUCUGACCACUUGGUCCUGGAAAGCCAAUCAGGGGACUUUCCCCGGGGAGGACUACUUCUCCAGCUCUGAGAAAGCCCUGGG